rnacentral:rRNA from 1 species
AGAGUUUGAUCCUGGCUCAGGACGAACGCUGGCGGCGUGCUUAACACAUGCAAGUCGAACGGAAAGGCCCCUUCGGGGGUGCUCGAGUGGCGAACGGGUGAGUAACACGUGGGUGAUCUGCCCUGCACUUUGGGAUAAGCCUGGGAAACUGGGUCUAAUACCGAAUACACCCUGCUGGUCGCAUGGCCUGGUGGGGGAAAGCGUUUGUAGCGGUGUGGGAUGAGCCCGCGGCCUAUCAGCUUGUUGGUGGGGUGAUGGCCUACCAAGGCGACGACGGGUAGCCGGCCUGAGAGGGUGACCGGCCACACUGGGACUGAGAUACGGCCCAGACUCCUACGGGAGGCAGCAGUGGGGAAUAUUGCACAAUGGGCGCAAGCCUGAUGCAGCGACGCCGCGUGAGGGAUGACGGCCUUCGGGUUGUAAACCUCUUUCAGUGCCGACGAAGCGGAAGUGACGGUAGGCACAGAAGAAGGACCGGCCAACUACGUGCCAGCAGCCGCGGUAAUAC